CAGCACCUCAAGUGGUCAGGAUGAUUAUGGGGCCUAAAGCAUCCGUAGUCGGCGCUGUAAGUUUUCGGUUAAAUCUGUACGCUCAACGUACAGGCUGCCGGGAAUACUGCAGCGCUAGGGAGUGGGAGAGGUAGACGGUACUCGGUAGGAAGGGGUAAAAUCCUUUGAUCUAUUGAUGACCAACUGUGGCGAAGGCGGUCUACCAGAACACGUCCGACGGUGAGGGAUGAAAGCUGGGGGAGCAAACCGGAUUAGAUACCCGAGUAGUCC
rnacentral:rRNA from 1 species